rnacentral:rRNA from 1 species
UACGAAGGGGGCUAGCGUUGCUCGGAAUUACUGGGCGUAAAGGGAGCGUAGGCGGAUAGUUUAGUCAGAGGUGAAAUCCCGGGGCUCAACCUCGGAACUGCCUUUGAUACUGGCUAUCUUGAGUAUGGGAGAGGUGUGUGGAACUCCGAGUGUAGAGGUGAAAUUCGUAGAUAUUCGGAAGAACACCAGUGGCGAAGGCGACACACUGGCCCAUUACUGACGCUGAGGUGCGAAAGCGUGGGGAGCAAACAGG